UAAUCUUAAUAGUUAAAAAACAUUAGAUUGCAAAUCUAAAAAUUUUUAAGAUAAG
rnacentral:tRNA from 1 species